CGUGAGGAACCUGCCUUGGAGAGGGGAAUAACACUCCGAAAGGAGUGCUAAUACCGCAUGAUGCAGUUGGGUCGCAUGGCUCUGACUGCCAAAGAUUUAUCGCUCUGAGAUGGCCUCGCGUCUGAUUAGCUUGUAGGCGGGGUAACGGCCCACCUAGGCGACGAUCAGUAGCCGGACUGAGAGGUUGACCGGCCACAUUGGGACUGAGACACGGCCCAG
rnacentral:rRNA from 1 species